rnacentral:rRNA from 1 species
GAGGAAUAUUGGGCAAUGCCCGCAAGGGUGACCCAGCAACGCCGCGUGGAGGAUGAAUGUCGUAAGAUUGUAAACUCCUGUUAGAGGGGAAGAAUAGUACCGGUUGGACCGGUAUAUGACUGUACCCUCAGAGAAAGCCCCGGCUAACUACGUGCCAGCAGCCGCGGUAAUACGUAGGGGGCAAGCGUUAUCCGGAUUUACUGGGCGUAAAGCGCACGCAGGCGGCUCUGUUAGUCGGACGUGAAAGCUCUCGGCUUAACCGGGAGAGGCCGUUCGAUACUGCGGGGCUUGAGGUAGGGAGAGGAAUGCGGAAUUCCCGGUGUAGUGGUGGAAUGCGUAGAUAUCGGGAGGAACACCUGUGGCGAAAGCGGCAUUCUGGCCCUCACCUGACGCUGAGGUGCGAAAGCGUGGGUAGCAAACA